UAACACGGAUAGCUCGAAUUCGUCAGGACCGGCCUCGAUAGUUCGAUGUAUCCGUAGUUCCAGGAAUAUCUUACAAAGACCAAGAAGAAGAAGAAAAUCGGGACUGCGUGCACAGUUCGACGGAUGCAUAAUCGGAUCUUCUGUGUUGGACCUCUUCGUGUUAUAGGCUGUGUUCCCUGCCAUAUGUGAGAGACAAUCCCUGUGGUCUGAGGCCGGUCAAGCCAGUGCCAAUAUGGAGUCAGUAUCUCACUGACCGUUCCUCUCUAACUGUGUGUGAGAAGAAAAUUGUGUUUGAUGUCUUCAGAACAUCAGAACCUGACAGAAAUGUUCAACUAUCUGUCCCGAGAACCUUCAAGACGCUGCCAUGUUGAAGGGGACAUCAGAGAUGGUCAUCAACAGGAUCUGUCGGUAGAUUUGACCAGACAAAAGAUGAAGCAGACAAAGAGAUAUGGAGAACUGAGUGGAUCAGAAAAAACCUUCAUGUCUAGCUCAUCCCCAAUGUUCCCCACUAUUUUUUAGC